AGAAUCAACGCUGGCGGCGUGCCUAACACAUGCAAGUCGAACGAGAAAGUGGAGCAAUCCAUGAGUAAAGUGGCGCACGGGUGAGUAACACGUGACUAACCUACCCUUGAGUGGGGGAUAACCUAGGGAAACCUGGGCUAAUACCGCAUAAUACCUUCGGGUCAAAGGAGCAAUUCGCUUUAGGAGGGGGUCGCGGCCGAUUAGUUAGUUGGCGGGGUAAUGGCCCACCAAGACGAUGAUCGGUA
rnacentral:rRNA from 1 species